rnacentral:rRNA from 1 species
GACGAACGCUGGCGGCGUGCUUAACACAUGCAAGUCGAACGGAAAGGCCCUGCUUUUGUGGGGUGCUCGAGUGGCGAACGGGUGAGUAACACGUGAGUAACCUGCCCUUGACUUUGGGAUAACUUCAGGAAACUGGGGCUAAUACCGGAUAGGAGCUCCUGCUGCAUGGUGGGGGUUGGAAAGUUUCGGCGGUUGGGGAUGGACUCGCGGCUUAUCAGCUUGUUGGUGGGGUAGUGGCUUACCAAGGCUUUGACGGGUAGCCGGCCUGAGAGGGUGACCGGCGACAUUGGGACUGAGAGACGGCGCAGACUGCUACGGGAGGCAGCAGUGGGGAGUAUUGCACAAUGGGCGGAAGCCUGAUGCAGCAACGCCGCGUGCGGGAUGACGGCCUUCGGGUUGUAAACCGCUUUCGCCUGUGACGAAGCGUGAGUGACGGUAAUGGGUAAAGAAGCACCGGCUAACUACGUG